rnacentral:lncRNA from 1 species
GCGCGACCCGCGCUGCGUCCCCGCCGGCGCCACGUUCCCGCGUCCUUCCCCGCCCGGGCCACGGGGCACGUCCCUCCCCGCCCCCCACUUACCUGUGGCUGCCGCCUCGCCGCUCUCCGGGGCGGGAACUUCCACUCCCCCCUCCCAGGUGAAGUCACUGCUCCUGCUGUUUGACAUAUUUUCCAUGUAGAAGAUAUGGACCUGGAAAUCAUGCUGACAGUUGGAGUAAGCCAUUUCUAAUCCCAUGCCAGAACCGAAGGCUAAUGGCCACACUCGUCUUUUAAAGAAGAAUCCCACAGGAUGAGAUGAAGAAUAUCAUGUAGCCAUCUCAGCUUAUUUCACAUCGUUUGAAGCCUGCUCUUAGCCAGAGGUCUUCUGUCUUUGUGAUUCUUCAGAAUGGCCCACUGCAGUCCCCACAAGGCUGGUUACAUGUUAUAAGCCACGUAGAUGGGGUCUAACUGGUCAGCUAGGAAGCUAUCACGGAGGUGCAUCCUCUGCUUCUCUCCUCUGGAGUUGAUCGGGAUGACACCUGGGUCCACCACAACCACGACGCCAACGAUGAGGUAAUGCUCUUCCAGGACCACGUUGGUCACUAAUGGGACCAGAUCUAGGGCUUCCUGUUCAGAGCCGCACAGUUCCACAACCACCACAAGCAAGUUGGUCCAUGUGAACACGGCACUGAAAUUUCAAUGACAAUUCAUUAACUUGUCACUACAUUUUUCAGUUAUCUUUUAUAGCAUCUGUCCCAGACUUAGCCCAUUUCCCCGCCUUCUCCCCUCAAUCCCAACCAGAACGUCAGCAGUCAUGUCUACCAUAUAUGACACCUUUCAAUUUUACCUGAUAAGACUGAGGGAAAAAUUAUAU